GCAUUUUGCACUUCUCUAGAGUCUUGCGCAAAUAUUUUCAUCACAGUAUCUUUUUAUCACAGUGAUUUUCCUCACACUACCAGUCGUUACCAUAGAAAUAUUGUUUUUGUUUGUUGAUUUUUAUUUCUUGUAAAGUCGAAACAGUUGGAAACCGUUCAAAGUCAGAUAAGUUGGAAUCUGUUGUAAUGCCGGCACAGUCAAAUUGAGGAGUCAAAUCCUGCUUCCAAACAGAGCCAAAAAGGAAUUUAUUCUGUGACUUCCCAGCAGCGUUGAUAACUCCUGUAAAGCUUUACCGGACAUGUAACGGAUUGACAAAAACAAGCUAUUAGCUAAUGACCACAUCAUUGCGUCUACCACUGGAAGCAGUCGGGAUUUUAACAAUUGUGUAAGAUGAUCAUUUCCAACGUUGUUUUGAAAUAAAUGCUAAUUCAUCAACAAUAGUUUA